GAGAGCACAGUAUGAUGAAAGUUGUGAGUUGUGUUCGGGGGGGAGUUAUUGUCUAUCAUUGGCCUCUAUGGUAGAAUCAGUCGGGGAGGCCUGAGAGACGGUGGUUUACCCUGU
rnacentral:ncRNA from 1 species